GACGAACGCUGGCGGCGUGCUUAACACAUGCAAGUCGAACGGAAAGGCCCUGCUUUUGUGGGGUGCUCGAGUGGCGAACGGGUGAGUAACACGUGAGUAACCUGCCCUUGACUUUGGGAUAACUUCAGGAAACUGGGGCUAAUACCGGAUAGGAGCUCCCGCUGCAUGGUGGGGGUUGGAAAGUUUCGGCGGUUGGGGAUGGACUCGCGGCUUAUCAGCUUGUUGGUGGGGUAGUGGCUUACCAAGGCUUUGACGGGUAGCCGGCCUGAGAGGGUGACCGGCCACAUUGGGACUGAGAUACGGCCCAGACUCCUACGGGAGGCAGCAGUGGGGAAUAUUGCACAAUGGGCGGAAGCCUGAUGCAGCAACGCCGCGUGCGGGAUGACGGCCUUCGGGUUGUAAACCGCUUUCGCCUGCGACGAAGCGUGAGUGACGGUAAUGGGUAAAGAAGCACCGGCUAACUACGUG
rnacentral:rRNA from 1 species